rnacentral:tRNA from 1 species
UCCCAGGUGGCUCAGAGGUUAAAGCAUCUGCCCGCAAUGUGGGAGACCUGGGUUCAAUCCCUGGGUUGGGAA